GGGGCAGAGCCGGCAUCGGGCGCUCUCUCGGCGGCCGCUGCCUGCGGUAGCUGCUGCUGUCUCCGAGAGACUGGAGAGCUUCCCUGGCCCACACCGGAUUGAUAGCGCCCUUGAUCUGAUGUGCGAAGGGGAAAACCCCCCUCAUUUUCCCUGCCGUUCAGCUGGGACGUGUGUUAUCGCUACAUUUCCCGCGUGGAUUUUUAUCAACGUUUUUAAACACAGGGCUAGUUCGCAUUGGCGCACGCCUUUCAGAAAAGCCUUUCAAACGCAUUAGGAGCGGAGCAAGCCCACGGCAGCGAGCAGGGGUCCGGACUCGGAGCGGGGCAGGCGCUGCAGGACGGGAAAGAGAAGCGGCCCGGGCUCCAGCGGAGGCCGCGGCGGCGGUGCCGGCGGCUCCGGCGCUGCCGCUUUAAGGGCGGGCGGGCGGCGGGAGCGCGGCCCGGCCCGGCCCCGGCACAGCGGCGGCGGCAGCAGCAGGCCCUGCAAUGCCAGAGUCUUCCUGCAAACUCUGAAGAUUCAGUGGAAGAACCCUAAAUGGGAGUAGAUUGCUGUGUGUAUAUCUUCAAGGCAGAGGGAGAGAGAUGUUAAAAGGUUGCACAUUCAAUUUUUAGCUCUAUCGGCUGUCCCACUAACAGGUCGUUUCUCACUGGGACUUGCCAUUCAUCACUAUGAAAAACAACGUCCUGUGAGUUCGUUUCAAGCUUUGUGCCUCAUCACUUGCUUCAGAUAAGCUGUGC